rnacentral:lncRNA from 1 species
GUUCAUUUCACCAAGAAAGAAACUACAGCACAGACAGGCAGGGUGGCUUGCCUGAGGUCAUCAAAGUGGUGUGUGUGUGUGUGUGUGUGUGUGUGUGUGUGUGUGUGUGUGUGUAUGUAGAAGGAUGCUUCGCCCGGUUCUUGCAAAACCCAGGCCCCCUAUAAUUUAUUAUUUAUACCGUAAUACAUCAUGAUCGCACUGGAAAUGUGCUACACUUCAAAGUACAACUCUGUAACAGGUCCUCUCAACCUUCGAGAAGUACAGUGAAGCAGCCUGAGGCUUCCAGACUCUGCAGCUGCUAGGACUGCGCUGCACCUCCCUGGAGCAACUGACACUGCUUCUCAGUGCCUGCUAAUGCCUAGAUGGAUUUCCUCAAAAGCAAGUGAUCCAAGAUAUGGCCAGGAGAAAGCAAUAAUGCCCCUUUUGACCUGGGAGUCAUAUACCAUCACUUUUGCCAUAUUCUAUUUGAUAGAAGUGAAUCACUAUGUCUAGCUCACUCUCAAGGAAAGGAGAAUUAAUCUUGACUUCUGGAAGGGAUAUGUACAAAGAAUUAGCCAAGAUACUUUGAAUCUCCAUUUCAUCUUCUUUCUAUUCUGAUGACGGCACGGACAAGGCAUGGGAUCUCAGAGAAUGUCUAGUUCAAGUGCCCUUAGACAUUAAAAACUUUUAAAUUAAGUGGAAUCUUGUGCACAUCAUCAAAUUUACAUAGAACUUUAAUAUCUAAGACAUAAAAGAGGGACAGGACAGUCCCCUCUCACACAGUAGGCCCUGAGGCAUUCUAGGAUCUUGCAUUAUGACUGUGAUCCUUCGUUUUCUUUUAUUUUUUCUUUUAAGACAGA